UUUUUAUUGGUUUUUUUCGUCAGGACGAACGCUGGCGGCGUGCGUAAUACAUGCAAGUCGUACGCUUCUUUUUCCACCGGAGCUUGCUCCACCGGAAAAAGAGGAGUGGCGAACGGGUGAGUAACACGUGGGUAACCUGCCCAUCAGAAGGGGAUAACACUUGGAAACAGGUGCUAAUACCGUAUAACAAUCGAAACCGCAUGGUUUUGAUUUGAAAGGCGCUUUCGGGUGUCGCUGAUGGAUGGACCCGCGGUGCAUUAGCUAGUUGGUGAGGUAACGGCUCACCAAGGCCACGAUGCAUAGCCGACCUGAGAGGGUGAUCGGCCACAUUGGGACUGAGACACGGCCCAAACUCCUACGGGAGGCAGCAGUAGGGAAUCUUCGGCAAUGGACGAAAGUCUGACCGAGCAACGCCGCGUGAGUGAAGAAGGUUUUCGGAUCGUAAAACUCUGUUGUUAGAGAAGAACAAGGAUGAGAGUAACUGUUCAUCCCUUGACGGUAUCUAACCAGAAAGCCACGGCUAACUACGUGCCAGCAGCCGCGGUAAUACGUAGGUGGCAAGCGUUGUCCGGAUUUAUUGGGCGUAAAGCGAGCGCAGGCGGUUUCUUAAGUCUGAUGUGAAAGCCCCCGGCUCAACCGGGGAGGGUCAUUGGAAACUGGGAGACUUGAGUGCAGAAGAGGAGAGUGGAAUUCCAUGUGUAGCGGUGAAAUGCGUAGAUAUAUGGAGGAACACCAGUGGCGAAGGCGGCUCUCUGGUCUGUAACUGACGCUGAGGCUCGAAAGCGUGGGGAGCAAACAGGAUUAGAUACCCUGGUAGUCCACGCCGUAAACGAUGAGUGCUAAGUGUUGGAGGGUUUCCGCCCUUCAGUGCUGCAGCUAACGCAUUAAGCACUCC
rnacentral:rRNA from 1 species